rnacentral:rRNA from 1 species
UCUGGUGUGUAUUCCGGACUGGUACAACCCGUUCCCAUCCCGAACACGGAAGUUAAACAGUCCAGGGCCGAUGAUAGUUGUCGGAUGACUGCGAAAGUAGGUCCACGCCAGAA